GAUAAAAAUAAGAUAUCUAAUAAUUUAAUAUAUCUAACAAUCUUAAAUGAUCUCUAGGUUAUCAUAUUUUUUCUUUUAUGGUAACGUUUCUCACUAUUGUAUUCUGUCAAUCAAAUGAGAUGUAUAUGCAAGACAAUUUUUCAAGGACCAGAUAAAGAUCAUUCAUGAUUCAAGGGAUGAAAGGGAAAGAAGAUUUUGAGAAGAUGCAACGAGGAACGUGAGAUGUGAAGCAGUCAAGCACUACUGGUCAUGCAAAUGCUGAGGAAUAUAGACUCAGGUGGAAGAAUAUCUAAAAUUUGUUGAGGUUCAAGAUAAAGAAAUGGAGAAUUUUGUUGCUGAAAAGGAGAAACUGUUGCAUGCCCAUCAAGUGGGUUAUGCUGCUUUGAAGAAGAGGCAUUGGGAGGAAGAGGUGGAGCAUGAGCAGAAGUUUGAUGAGGAACUGACCAAGCUCAUGGAAAGUAUUCCCCUUCCUAGACUAACUAAUGUGGGGUCUUUGCUUUGACUCAUACAAACAUAUAAAACAUCAGCCCUGACCAUAGACAAAAAUAAAUAGAGUUGCCCAGACCUUUUACUAC